rnacentral:lncRNA from 1 species
GGAAGAGAAGAUUGUAAUGAAGCAAGCUCCUCUCUACAUCGCCCUAGCUCCUUGGAAACAAGGCCCAAAAUGCUCAGAUUCCCAAAUUUUCAACUGCUUACUGCAACCAACAAACUUUCCCAUAAAAAACGAAGGACCAGUAUUCCAAGAGGAGUACUCCAGGCAUUUUCAACAACUCACCUGCAAGAUUCGUCUUGAAGCCAUAUGGCUUCAAACUUGAACGCCUUUUUCCUCUUGUUUCUUUUGUUUGCAUUUGGCCUCUAAGAGAUUAAUAUCAGGCAAUUGUCGGAUUCCUGUCUUACCAAGUGAGUCACCUCAUAAUUAGGAAAAAGAAAGACCCACUUAGAAUUUGCAAAACAUCAAUCCAAUCUUUCUUGGAUAUUGUCGAUCCUAACUUGUCCAUUGGACCAAGUAUAAUGAUAACUUUUACAGCCCAAGUCAUCUAAAUGGCAAACUCACAAGACAUCUCUAAAAGCCUGCAUUAUAGAAUCGUCCAUGUAAUUACCUCCCGUCUUCUCCACAUUAAAUAGAAUCUCGUUAAAAUCACCACAUAAGAGCCAAGGCAGAUUAUAUUGAGCAGCUAAAUCUAUUAUAAGCAGCCAAGUAAGAGUCUUGUGGCGAUCUUCUGCCCAACCGUAUAUACCUGUGCAUCUCUAUAUGUUACCAUCAUUAGAAGGUGCAAUCUGAACAUCAAUGUGAUAGAGGGAAGAGAAGAGAUGUUGAACAUCAUAAUCGUACUGCCAAAGCAAACAUAACCCACCCCUCUGACCACCAUUACUAUCACAAUCACAAUCAAACUUUAUGGAAAACCCAAUUUCUUCUUAAUGGAAGAGAACUCAGAAUCGGUCAACUUUGUUUCCAU